GCUCUGGUGGCUUAUUGGUUAGAGCAUCUGCCUUGAAUAUGGUAGGUCGCAGGUUCAAACCUUGGUCGAGGCA